rnacentral:rRNA from 1 species
AGAGUUUGAUCCUGGCUCAGGACGAACGCUGGCGGCGCGCCUAACACAUGCAAGUCGAACGGAGCUGAGAGGAGCUUGCUUUUUUCAGCUUAGUGGCGAACGGGUGAGUAACGCGUGAGUAACCUGCCCUGGAGUGGGGGACAACAGUUGGAAACGACUGCUAAUACCGCAUAAGCCCACGGAUUCGCAUGGAUCUGCGGGAAAAGGAUUUAUUCGCUCUAGGAUGGACUCGCGUCCAAUUAGCUAGUUGGUGAGGUAACGGCCCACCAAGGCGACGAUUGGUAGCCGGACUGAGAGGUUGAACGGCCACAUUGGGACUGAGACACGGCCCAGACUCCUACGGGAGGCAGCAGUGGGGGAUAUUGCACAAUGGGGGAAACCCUGAUGCAGCGACGCCGCGUGGAGGAAGAAGGUUUUCGGAUUGUAAACUCCUGUCGUUAGGGACGAUAAUGACGGUACCUAACAAGAAAGCACCGGCUAACUACGUACCAGCAGCCGCGGUAAAACGUAGGGUGCAAGCGUUGUCCGGAAUUACUGGGUGUAAAGGGAGCGCAGGCGGACCGGCAAGUUGGAAGUGAAAACUGUGGGCUCAACCCAUAAAUUGCUUUCAAAACUGCUGGCCUUGAGUAGUGCAGAGGUAGGUGGAAUUCCCGGUGUAGCGGUGGAAUGCGUAGAUAUCGGGAGGAACACCAGUGGCGAAGGCGACCUACUGGGCACCAACUGACGCUGAGGCUCGAAAGCAUGGGUAGCAAACAGGAUUAGAUACCCUGGUAGUCCAUGCCGUAAACGAUGAUUACUAGGUGUUGGAGGAUUGACCCCUUCAGUGCCGCAGUAACACAAUAAGUAAUCCACCUGGGGAGUACGACCGCAAGGUUGAACUCAAAGGAAUUGACGGGGGCCCCACAAGCAGUGGAAUAUUGUGGUUUAAUUCGAAGCAACGCGAAGAACCUUACCAGGUCUUGAAUCCGAUGCUAAUGGAAAGAUGCUUGAAUCCUUCCGGAAUCCAACAAGGGGGGCCAGGGUUGCGCCACCCCUGGCCGGGAAAGUUUGGGUUAAUCCCCCACCAAGCGGACCCUUAUUGCGUUUCUACCCAAAAGGACUUGGGGAAAUGCCUUGAAAAAAGGAAAAGAGUGGGGAUGACGUCAAAUCAUCAUGCCCUUUAUGACCUGGGCUACACACGUACUACAAUGGCGUUUAACAAAGAGAAGCAAGACCGCGAGGUGGAGCAAAACUCAAAAACAACGUCUCAGUUCAGAUUGCAGGCUGCAACUCGCCUGCAUGAAGUCGGAAUUGCUAGUAAUCGCGGAUCAGCAUGCCGCGGUGAAUACGUUCCCGGGCCUUGUACACACCGCCCGUC